rnacentral:tRNA from 5 species
GGCUUAUUGGUCAAGCGGUUAAGACGCCGCCCUCUCACGGCGGAAACAGGGGUUCGAUUCCCCUAUAAGCUA